GCUUCUACUUGUGAUAAAACUGGCAGCCGGGGAGAUACAAAGAGUAUUUGAAAGCAUUUCACCAAAGGUCCUAGCUGAACUACAGAAAUACAGACUGGGAGGAAUCAGCCCAUUCUGCAAGCCCAGGCUGAUGCUGGCCAGCUGGCAGGGAGCACCGUGGAACGAGUGCCAGAUACUCACCAGCUGUGUCCCUGUGUAGCCAUCUGUAGCACACCCCAUAUGCCAAAUGCGAGGCUGGACACUUCACAUCCUUCACAAUUGCUGCCAAGUAGUGACAAAGCCGCUCACUUGAUCAGCUGCAGGAGAUCAUUUUUCAGAAGUUCAUAGUCAACAGUUAAGGAUGACCAUAUCCAAACAAGACCCCCCCACCUUUCCAAGGUCCUUUCCUUUCCAAGGUCACAGAAGGUCAUGAGAAUUGAACUCUUGGGACAGCCUGUCCAGAUCUACCAUCUUAUAAAAGGAGAUACUUGCUGAUGAAAAUGUGAAUUCUAGAAUGACGACUAUUUAGAGCAGUCAAUCACACACAAAAAGUAUUUCCUGCUGAAAAUGAGGAGAAAAUAUUUUUCCACUCUUGCGGACAUGUCAAAAUGCAGAUGGCAAGGGGCCAGUGGACCCGGGAACGUGGCAUGUCUCCCAGUGGACCCUCGGAGAUGUCAGAGCCGCCCGCUGGCCCUGCGUCUUCCUGGAAGUUUUCCACCUGCACUUUUCUGUGGCCUCUCGCUGGUCCCGGUGGAGGUGGUGGGAAGAGCUCAGUCUUCAUCCAACUUUUAUCCCCUUAUCAACUUUGUACUUUGAUUUCUGAGUUUUCCCUAUUUCUAUUCAGAGCAGCAUUCCAUAUUUACAUACUAUUUUACCAUUUAAAAAGUGCCUACUCAAAAAAAAUGUUUCAUUUAGAGAAAUGUUCCAUGCAGAAAACUGUAAUGUUCUAGGAAAGUGACACCUGCUGGAAUAGAAACGGCCUGGUCAGCACUAUUUGACUACUUGAUAUACUUUUAUAUAGACCUAAACAGAAGCCACGGGACCACGGGACGGCCUUUGCAUGGAGCAGCAUCUAGGGAGGAGUCCGCUGCCCAGCAGUAGAUGAAAAUGAAUUCUAACAUUUGCUUUCAUUUCUCAGAGAACAUUGAAGGGAAUCUCUCCUAAUUUUCAGCAAUACAUCGGAAGAACUCCCCUUUCUCCACUUUCUAAUUGUCUAACUCAUUCUUCAGAAUCACAGAGAAUAUAGGUUGACAUAAUCCU